UACGGAGGGGGCUAGCGUUGUUCGGAAUUACUGGGCGUAAAGCGCACGUAGGCGGCUUUGUAAGUUAGAGGUGAAAGCCCGGGGCUCAACCCCGGAAUAGCCUUUAAGACUGCAUCGCUUGAACACGGGAGAGGUGAGUGGAAUUCCGAGUGUAGAGGUGAAAUUCGUAGAUAUUCGGAAGAACACCAGUGGCGAAGGCGGCCCACUGGACCGUUGUUGACGCUGAGGUGCGAAAGCGUGGGGAGCAAACAGG
rnacentral:rRNA from 1 species